rnacentral:rRNA from 1 species
UACGUAGGGUGCAAGCGUUGUCCGGAAUUAUUGGGCGUAAAGAGCUCGUAGGCGGUUUGUCGCGCCUGCUGUGAAAACGCGGGGCUCAACUCCGCGCCUGCAGUGGGUACGGGCAGACUAGAGUGCAGUAGGGGAGACUGGAAUUCCUGGUGUAGCGGUGGAAUGCGCAGAUAUCAGGAGGAACACCGGUGGCGAAGGCGGGUCUCUGGGCAUUAACUGACGCUGAGGAGCGAAAGCAUGGGGAGCGAACAGG